UAUUAUCACAGUGUUGUGCCACCAUAUUACUAGUUAAUCCUUAAACUAUUAACAUUCUUGUCUUCUCUCAUUCUCCAAUGUAACACCUGAUGAAACAAGGCUGAACUCGUCAGGAAAGAGUGAAAAUUCCAGAGCAAGCUAAGCCUACUGGCAAGGACCAGAUGAGAAACCCAAGGACUACAACUAAGAAAUGGGUUUGCACCAGAAAGAUCUAAGAUGGUGCCAGAAAACCCUUCCCAGAUGAAGCCAACAUGACUCAAGCAUGAAACAAUGUUGACUUGUAGGUUAAAAAAAAAAAAGGCAAAUAUUUGCUGCCCCCUGCUGUUCAAGUUUGUUGGCAUUUCUGAUAUUUCUUUUGCUGAAACUGAAAACAAUAAACGUUUUUUCAUUCAAUAAAUGAAUAUAAGCCA